rnacentral:rRNA from 1 species
UACGUAGGGUGCAAGCGUUGUCCGGAAUUAUUGGGCGUAAAGAGCUCGUAGGCGGUCUGUCGCGUCGGAUGUGAAAACCCAGGGCUCAACCCUGGGCCUGCAUUCGAUACGGGCAGACUAGAGUUCGGUAGGGGAGACUGGAAUUCCUGGUGUAGCGGUGAAAUGCGCAGAUAUCAGGAGGAACACCGGUGGCGAAGGCGGGUCUCUGGGCAUUACCUGACGCUGAGGAGCGAAAGUGUGGGGAGCGAACAGG